AGAACAGAUGUGAGUGAAAAUCAUCCACGAGAGCCCCAGAGCGGAAAUCAUGCAAUACCUGAUUUCAUUUACUUUGAUGUUGGAUUCAUUUUCCUAUAGUUCGGAAAUUGACAACCGGGAACUUAUAAUUUGAGUUGCGAGCGUUGCGGUUGCACUUUUUCACUCGGCUUUGGUUUUGGUUACAAUAUUUUUUUUUAUUUUCGAUUCUACUGAUAAGUAAAAGUGGUUUCACCCGUGAAUUGUUUGAAAUAGAGAAAAGCAAAUAAGUGUGUGAGUUAGUUAAUGGUAAAUAAACCUAUAGCAUUGUUUUUUUUUAUUUGGUGUUGCCUUCUGUCAGGCAUUUGGCUGAGGCCCAUAAAUAGCAUUGAUUUAUUUUCAACGACACAUUUUGAAGCAAGAAUAUCGACGGCUUACAAAAUAGUCCUUGCUCCAAUCAGUUUCGAUUACGUAUAAUGUUUCUGUAGCAUCCCCUGAACGGUGAAAUCCCGGUGGAAGCAUUUAUCAAGCAUAUAAACGAUUGAAAGGGACCAUUACUAAAAGGCAAGAUAGGGAAUUACUUCGUACUACCUGUUGAAGAAGCCUGAAGUGUGGUGAUAUUCUAAUAAAAUAUCCCCACUAUAAAAAGGAGCUCGGAUAUCAACUGUUUGCUGUUGAAAUAAUCGAAUGAGUUUUGAUGGUUCACUUCCAUGUUCCAAAUCGAUGAAGAUAACCGUGAUUUAGGAUACAAAGAAAUAAGAGCUAACUGGAAAAAUAUAAUCGACAAAUUAUGGACGUAUGUCAUAUUGAAGUUCGAAGCCAGAACUCUUGUUGUGCUGGAAUUUAUGAAUCGUUCAAGUCAAUCUGAAGAUGCUCUCAUUUGUUGCUUUUUAAUUCAACUCACUAGGCUUUACACAAAAGCCUAGUGAAGUUACAAAGAUCAUGAGACCAGUAAUUCUAACCGCACAAGAGGAUGCGCUAAUGUGUGCUGGUAAUCUAGUCUCUGCGCACGAGUCCAAUCAAACCACAUCCCAAAUAAUCGUCGUUGGAGAUGAUUAUACACCUCUACGAAGAGACAGUUCUAUGUGUGAAACGUAUACACAAAAAUUGACAGCUGUAUACCGAUUUUCAAGAUAUGUUUCAACCAAUCUACAAUUAAACGCUGCAUAGCAGCGAUAUAAGCAGGAAGAUCGAUAUAAAACUGUCAUACGAAUUAUAUACAACCCCUGGAACCAGUUCCAGCAGUACAUUCACAAAGAUCUGCAACGGUUUUUGAGAGCUAUGAGUUUGUUCAAUCGUUACGGGAUAAUGAUCGCAUGGCACUGAAUUUCCUGCUUGAUCUCUACAAACGUUGUAAAAUAACACGAAAGGAUAUUCUCGAUGUUCAAUCUAGAGUCAGGGACUUGAAUAGUCAUCUUGAAGGCCUCAUCAGUUCAGUAAUAUCGUUUCAAACUAACGACCCACUAACGCGUUUUGUUACUUUUUUUUAUCUAUGUGUUUUGUUAAUGAUAUCUCUCUACAAAAAUUGUCUGCUAUGUUUGAUUUUAUUGAUACAGCGCACAAAUUCUCUAAGUUUCAGAAUCAAAUCUUUUUGAACAGCCAAGAGUUUUCAUCAUUAAGAACAUCAUCAAUUUAAUCUUAAUGGAUAUAGAACUUCAAAUCAAAAAUUUCUCGAAACCGAAGAUGUAUCAAUAGAUAUAAUUACCAAUAUCAACGAACUAAUGCAAAUAUGAAAUUGUUAAAACCACUCAGUCCAUAACACUAAAACACAAAGUAUUGUUUGGGAAACUUCGUAGCAGUAAGUCAAAAAUUUAUAGCAGAAUUAUAUCAAAUAAUAGAAUUGCUCAAUUAUUACAAACAGUAAUGCUAUGUUUAUAUGACUGAA